ACCUGCUGAAUUUAAGCAUAUAAGUAGGCAGAGGAAGUGACACAAAAGUGGACUCACACAGUAGUUGCGAACGAAGAGUGAAAGACUCAAUUCGAAAUGUGUGGGUUUCUGCCCAUGACAUGAAAUCUCCGAAUGUGUGACUAAGGGUGGUGCAGGUGUGAGCCAUCUUGCAAGAGGGGAGGGCGUGCAUCAACAAGGGUGAGAAUCCUAUGUGUUGCUUGCAGACUUCUGUGUACAGUGCCCAUUUUCAGAAUCAUGCUCUUUGGAACUGGAGUGCAGAGUGGGUGGUAGCUCCCACUCAAAGUCGAACAUGACAUUGGGACUGACAGGGGAGAAGUACCGUGAGGGAAGCGUGAAAAGGACUUUGGAAAGAGAUUUAAAAGAGCCUGCACUUGCUGAGUGCCAAGCACACAGGAUGGCAGAGGUGGGAGAGAUUGCUGCGUGCGUGUGCAAUUCUGGCUGUCACCAGACAGGAGCUUGCCAUGCAUGCUUGUGCUGCAUGUGGAGAUUCUUUUCUUGAGUGCCAGUAUGUAUGUAUGUAGUCGAUGCCUGUUGGCAUUGCUUGUGGUGUAUCCUGGGAUAUGUGAUUGUGUGUGCCUUGUCUGAACGUGCCGAAGGCUCUGUUGCACUGUGACCCAAGCUAUCAGCAUGCCUGUCUGUAUUCACUGUUGGGGAGUCCAUGACCAGUGUGUUUGCGGUGAGCUCCAUUCUGUGUGACCCGUCUAGGAGUCUAGCAUAGUUGCAAGCUUGUGGGGGAGAGAACUCAGUGCACAAUGAAGGUGGAGUCCCAGAGUGGGCAUGAGUGUUCAACCAAGCAGCAGGAUGAGGUUUGAGCCUGAGUAUGCCCGCUAGGACCCGAAAGAUGGUGAACUAUGCCUGGGAAGGGCAAAGUCAGGGGAAACUCUCGUGGAGGCUCACAGCGCUACUGACGUGCAAAUCGUUCGU
rnacentral:rRNA from 1 species